GUGCUCACUUUGGCAACACAUAUACUAUAAUUGGAAUGAUAUGGAGAAGAUUAGUGUGGUCUCUGGACAAGGAUGACACACAAAUUUGUGACAUAUUCCAUUUAAAC